GGGUCAGUAGGUUGGUCGUGCCACCGGUACGUACUGGUCUCACUGAUUCCUCCUUCCCGAUGAACCGUAAUGCCAUUAAUUUGGUGUUGCGGGGAAACAGGACUGUUACUUUGAAAAAAUUAGAGUGUUUAAAGCAAGCUAACGCUUGAAUACAUUAGCAUGGAAUAAUGGAAUAGGACGAUCGACCCUAUUUUGUUGGUUUCUAGGAUUGACGUA
rnacentral:rRNA from 1 species